GACGAACGCUGGCGGCGUGCUUAACGCAUGCAAGUCGAACGGAGAAUUUAUUUCGGUAAAUUCUUAGUGGCGAACGGGUGAGUAGCGCGUGGGCAACCUGCCCUUCAGAUGGGGACAACAUCCCGAAAGGGGUGCUAAUACUGAAUACGAUCACGCUGCCGCGUGGCGGUGUGAUGAAAGAUGGCCUCUAUUUAUAAGCUAUCGCUGAAGGAUGGGCCUGCGUCUGAUUAGCUAGUUGGUGGGGUAACGGCCUACCAAGGCGAUGAUCAGUAGCCGGUCUGAGAGGAUGAACGGCCACAUUGGGACUGAGACACGGCCCAAACUCCUACGGGAGGCAGCAGUGGGGAAUAUUCCGCAAUGGACGAAAGUCUGACGGAGCAACGCCGCGUGAGUGAUGAAGGUUUUCGGACUGUAAAACUCUGUUGUUUAGGACGAAAGUGCCUGUUGCAAAUAGUUGCAGGUAUUGACGGUACUGAACGAGGAAGCCACGGCUAACUACGUGCCAGCCGCCGCAGUAA
rnacentral:rRNA from 1 species